rnacentral:rRNA from 1 species
UGGGGAAUUUUGGACAAUGGGCGAAAGCCUGAUCCAGCAAUGCCGCGUGUGUGAAGAAGGCCUUCGGGUUGUAAAGCACUUUUGUCCGGAAAGAAAUCCUUGGCUCUAAUACAGUCGAGGGAUGACGGUACCGGAAGAAUAAGCACCGGCUAACUACGUGCCAGCAGCCGCGGUAAUACGUAGGGUGCAAGCGUUAAUCGGAAUUACUGGGCGUAAAGCGUGCGCAGGCGGUUUGCUAAGACCGAUGUGAAAUCCCCGGGCUCAACCUGGGAACUGCAUUGGUGACUGGCAGGCUAGAGUAUGGCAGAGGGGGGUAGAAUUCCACGUGUAGCAGUGAAAUGCGUAGAGAUGUGGAGGAAUACCGAUGGCGAAGGCAGCCCCCCUGGGCCAAUACUGACGCUCAUGCACGAAAGCGUGGGGAGCAAACAGGAUUAGAUACCCUGGUAGUCCACGCCCUAAACGAUGUCAACUAGUUGUUGGGGGACUUCAUUUUCCUUAGUAACGUAGCUAACGCGUGAAGUUGACCGCCUGGGGGAGUACGGUCGCAAGAUUAAAACUC